AAUGACGCCUCAGGGUGGUCACAUGACUAAGCUGCGUCAUAAGAGCUCGAAACAACAGCGCCAAAACUCCUUUGCACCUGCAUCUUCUGUUGCUGUUUUUGUUUGUUUGUUUGGGGUGUUUGUGUUUUGUUUUGUUUACAAUAUCUCGAAGUACAGGUAAUUCUGUGGACCUGUCAGUUUGCAGAGGCUCUCUCUCCCCCACCCCUGCCUCUCUCCCAAUUAGCUAAUGUGGCAGAAACGACGAGAAGAACAAAGAAACCUCAGCCCGGUGUGAAUUGCGGAACACUUUAUUGAACACAGAUGAACAGAAGUCAGGUUCCUCUGUGGAUGAAGAAGGACUCGAGGCGCCAGCAAGGAAGUGAAGAAUUUCUGAGGAAAUGUUUGGGGCGGAGGCAGAAGUUCAAAGGGAAUUCAUUUAAGGGACAAGACGAAUAGCCCCUUCAGAAAUGCUUCAGGUGGUAAAAGCAAUGAGGGUCCCAGAAGUGGAGAAGCUGAAACGAGGCUGAGAAGCCUGGGAGUGAGCAUUUGCAGAGAAAGCCCUCUGACUGCCCAGCCAGUGCCCAGAGAGCCGGCAGUGCUCUGGGAGGGGCCCAAGCUUUGAGUUUGAGCCAAAGGCCCUUGCUAACUCGCCAACCACAGCUAGUCAUGUGGCUGUGCUAAACCUUUGUUUUCUCAUCCUCAAAAUGGGACUGAUGAUGCCCACCUCCCAAGGGCUGUUAAGAGGAUUACGUGAAAUUAUAAACGUGAUGUUUCUGACCAUGACAUAGAGGCACACAGACUGUGAGUCCCUGUCCGUGCACCAGAAAUAGCCUAUUCCUAAUCCUGAGCCAUGCCCGAGCCAAGUGCUUUCAAAUGCUCUCCAGAGGGUUCAGGGCCCUGUCCAGCUAGCUUCCCAGGGAGGGAGGUGACUGCUCUGGAGAUUGCCACAGGGGUCAAGUGUUGAAAGACAGCUGCCACUCCUGCUCCAGGCCGCCUGCCCAGGGCUGCAGGUGGUGUAAGAUAAGGCCCUAGGCCAGGGGCCCACUCCCAGGAAUCUGUCUCCUUCUCCAGGCUUUCCAGAUGCCUCCCUCCCAUCCCACCCAUAAUAAGUACCUUAGGAGUCCUCAGGACAAGCCCACCUAGCAGUUGAGCCUGUGGCUUUCCAGAAUUUUUUGAAAGUGAAGACAGGACCUCCUAUUCCAUCCACAGUAUUUGGUUCCAAGGGCCAUCAAAUUACCCAGCUGUUCAUUAACCAUGCUUAAAGCUUGAGCCUGAGAAAAUCAAGCAUUUUCAUGGUGGUCUAGACCCAGCGCUUUCACCACUGCCGCCCCAGUUCAAUCUCAAAUCUGGGAACUGAGAUCCCACAUCAAGCCACAGCUCAUGGAGGCAAAAAAUAAAAGUAACAAAAAAAAUCAAAAGCCAAGAGCAUGAAGGUUCCACCCUUUUUAAAAUGACCAAGGAAAUAACAAUUAACCUAAAUAAAAUCUUGACCUUGUUCAACAUUUUCUAGUUUCCUCUCUAAAGCAUCAAUGACAAACUCAACUAUAACUAAAAAAAAAAAUUUAAACAGUUUAUGAGAAGCAGAUGAAGAUUUACAUACAUAGGAUGACAUUUUAGCAACGGUGCCCCAUCACCACCCACCACAACCCAAUGACAAGUUAUACGUGUUCUGCAGUUAGAAAAACACACAUCAGAAAUAAAGUUAGAUCCCUUCUCAGCACUCUGUGUAUUAAGGAUCCACAUAUAAAUAACUCUUAAAAUAUUUGAAAAAUAUCAGAACACUUGGACAGACUUGGAACUGGGAGAAGUCAAACAAAGGGAAGAAACACAACAGCCAUUAAAAAAGAGAGAAGAUAUUUGAUCAUAUAAAAGUGAAAAGCUUCAAAGAACAAAAGAUACGAGAACCCGAAAUCAUAAAUAUAAGAUACCAUAAACAAGGAGGAUA
rnacentral:lncRNA from 1 species